UAGCUCAGUUGGUAGAGCAUGGUGUGUGCAACGCCAGGGUUGUGGGUUCGAUUCCCAC
rfam:Salmo salar isolate Sally breed double haploid chromosome ssa06, whole genome shotgun sequence.